AGCGAACGCUGGCGGCAGGCCUAACACAUGCAAGUCGAACGAAGUCUUCGGACUUAGUGGCGGACGGGUGAGUAACACGUGGGAACGUGCCUUUAGGUUCGGAAUAACUCAGGGAAACUUGUGCUAAUACCGAAUGUGCCCUUCGGGGGAAAGAUUUAUCGCCUUUAGAGCGGCCCGCGUCUGAUUAGCUAGUUGGUGGGGUAAUGGCCCACCAAGGCUACGAUCAGUAGCUGGUCUGGGAGGAUGACCAGCCACAUUGGGACUGAGACACGGCCCAAACUCCUACGGGAGGCAGCAGUGGGGAAUCUUGCGCAAUGGGCGAAAGCCUGACGCAGCCAUGCCGCGUGGAUGAUGAAGGUCUUAGGAUUGUAAAAUUCUUUCACCGGGGACGAUAAUGACGGUACCCGGAGAAGAAGCCCCGGCUAACUUCGUGCCAGCAGCCGCAGUAACAC
rnacentral:rRNA from 1 species